UACGAACUGUGCAAGCGUUAUUCGGAAUCACUGGGCUUAAAGGGUGCGUAGGCGGCUUGUUAAGUAGGGUGUGAAAUCCCCCGGCUCAACCGGGGAAUUGCGCCCGAAACUGGCGAGCUGGAGUGAGAUAGGGGUGUGUGGAACUUCCAGUGGAGCGGUGAAAUGUGUUGAUAUUGGAAGGAACGCCAGUGGCGAAAGCGACACACUGGGUCUCAACUGACGCUGAGGCACGAAAGCCAGGGGAGCAAACGGG
rnacentral:rRNA from 1 species